rnacentral:rRNA from 1 species
AAGGCGAUGAUGCAUAGCCCGAGUUGAGAGACUGAUCGGGCCACAUUGGGGACUGAGACACGGGCCCAAAACUCCUACGGGGAGGGCAGCAGUAGGGAAUUCUUCCACAAGUGGACGCAAGUCUGAUGGAGCAACGCCGCGUGAGUGAAGAAGGGUUUCGGCUCGUAAAAGCUCUGUUGUUGGUGAAGAAGGACAGGGGUAGUAACUCGACCUUUGUUUGACGGUAAUCAAUUAGAAAGUCACGGCUAACUACGUGCCAGCAGCCGCGGUAAU